rnacentral:rRNA from 1 species
UACGUAGGGUGCAAGCGUUAAUCGGAAUUAUUGGGCGUAAAGGGCGCGUAGGCGGCAUGGCAAGUGGAUGGUGAAAUCCCUCGGCUUAACCGAGGAACUGCCGUCCAAACUGCUUCGCUUGAGACCGGGAGAGGUGAGUGGAAUUCCCAGUGUAGCGGUGAAAUGCGUAGAGUAUUCGGGAGGAACACCAGUGGCGAAGGCGGCCGACUGGGCCGGACCUGACGCUGAGUCGCGAAGGCGUGGGGAGCGAACGGG